AGAGUUUGAUCCCGGCUCAGGAUGAACGCUAGCGGCAGGCCUAACACAUGCAAGUCGAGGGGCAGUCGGGAUUGAAGCUUGCUUCAAUUGCCGGCGACCGGCGCACGGGUGCGUAACGCGUAUGUAACCUACCUAUAACGAGGGGCAUAACACUGAGAAAUUGGUACUAACUUCCCCAUAAUAUUCGGAGAGGCAUCUCUCCGGGUUAGAAAACUCCGGUGGUUAUAGAUGGACAUGCGUUGUAUUAGCUAGUUGGUGAGGUAACGGCUCACCAAGGCAACGAUACAGUAGGGGGACUGAGACGGUUAACCCCCCACACUGGUACUGAGACACGGACCAGACUCCUACGGGAGGCAGCA
rnacentral:rRNA from 1 species